GAUGAAGAACGUAGCGAAAUGCGAUAAGUAGUGUGAAUUGCAGAAUUCAGUGAAUCAUCGAAUCUUUGAACGCACAUUGCGCCCCUUGGUACUCCAUGGGGCAUGCCUGUUCGAGCGUCAUUUACACCCUCAAGCUCUGCUUGGUGUUGGGCGUCUGUCCCGCUUCGUGCGCGGACUCGCCUCAAAUGCAUUGGCAGCGGUCUUGCCAGCUUCUCGCGCAGCACAUUGCGCUUCUAGAGGCUUUGGCGGAUCGGCGUCCAUCAAGUACACCCACAGUUUGACCUCGGAUCAGGUAGGGAUACCCGCUGAACUUAAGCAUAUCAUAAGCGGAGGA
rnacentral:misc_RNA from 1 species